rnacentral:rRNA from 1 species
GUAUUAAUAAAGAAAUUUAGCGGAUUUGGCGGCAAGAUAGCCCAUUUAGAGGAACCUGCCCUGUAAACGAUGAGCCACGAAAGGCCCUACUUUAUUUUGUAAUCAGUUUGUAUACCGCUGUUGUCAGUCAGUUUUAAUAGAAAACUUUCCAUAAUGAUAAUAAUCAUUGACUUCAAGUAAAGGUGCAGCUUAUAAUAAAGUUAGAGGUGGGUUACAAUUUAAAGAAAAAAAACGAACAAUAAUAUUAAAAAUUAUUUGAAGGUGGAUUUAAUGGUAAAGUUUUAGCAAACUUGACGAGAGCACUAACUUGUG